GGUCGGAUGCGAGGCGGUACAGAGGACGCGGCCGCCGGAUCCGUUCGAAGAUGGGCGGCGCUGGGGAUACCUGAGCCGCAUGCGCGGGGAAAUGGACCUCUCGUCAUGCUUCCUGUACAGAGAAGACGAGAUCUGAGAGAGGGAAAUAGAGGAGGAGGAAGGAAUGAGAGGGAGCAGGAGAGGAAAGAGGCGCGAGGGUCUGCGGGCUCGUCUCACCGGAUCCUCGCCGGAAGUGCACGGGCGCGGCGGCUCUGGCCCGAUCGGGAGGGGCCUGCAGCGAUGCGUGGGAGAAAGGAGUGGAGUGGGAAAAGAGCGGCGCGGGGGAGAAGAUGACUCGCAAGAGGGAGGACGGG
rnacentral:lncRNA from 1 species